rnacentral:rRNA from 1 species
AUACAGAGGGUGCAAGCGUUAAUCGGAAUUACUGGGCGUAAAGCGCACGUAGGUGGUUCAUUAAGUCAGAUGUGAAAGCCCCGGGCUCAACCUGGUAACUGCAUGUGGAACUGGUGAGCUAGAGUAUGGUAGAGGUAAGUGGAAUUCCAGGUGUAGCGGUGAAAUGCGUAGAUAUCUGGAGGAACAUCAGUGGCGAAGGCGACUUACUGGACCAAUACUGACACUGAGGUGCGAAAGCGUGGGGAGCAAACAGGAUUAGAAACCCCAGUAGUCC